rnacentral:rRNA from 1 species
GACGAACCGUGCGAACGUUGUUCGGAAUCACUGGGCUUAAAGGGAGCGUAGGCGGGCUAACAAGUCUGGGGUGAAAUGCCACGGCUCAACCGUGGAACUGCCUUAGAUACUGUCGGCCUCGAGGGAGAUAGGGGCAUGCGGAACUGUAGGUGGAGCGGUGAAAUGCGUUGAUAUCUACAGGAACUCCGGUGGCGAAAGCGGCGUGCUGGAUCUCUUCUGACGCUGAGGCUCGAAAGCUAGGGGAGCAAACGGG